ACUACGGGAGGCUGCAGUAGGGAAUCUUUCACAAUGGGCGAAAGCCUGAUGGAGCAACGCCGCGUGCAGGAUGAAGGCCUUCGGGUUGUAAACUGCUUUUAUAAGCGAGAAAUAUGAUGGUAACUUAUGAAUAAGGAUCGGCUAACUACCUGCCAGCAGCCGCGGGCAUACGUAGGAUCCGAGCAUUAUCCGGAGUGACUGGGUGUAAAGAGUUGCGUAGGUGGCAUAAUAAGUAGCUAGUGAAAUCGGGUGGCUCAACCAUUCAGACUAUUAGCUAAACUGUUAAGCUCGAGACCGUUAGGGGUAACUGGAAUUUCUAGUGUAGGAGUGAAAUCCGUAGAUAUUAGAAAGAACACCAAUAGCGUAGGCAGGUUACUGGGACUGUUCUGACACUAAGGCACGAAAGCGUAGGGAGCAAACGGGAUUAGAUACCCGUGUAGUC
rnacentral:rRNA from 1 species